rnacentral:rRNA from 1 species
ACUCCUACGGGAGGCAGCAGUGGGGAUAUUGGACAAUGGGGGAAGCCCUGAUCCAGCAAUACCGCGUGUGUGAAGAAGGCCUGCGGGUUGUAAAGCACUUUCGUUAAGGGAGAAGUUUGAGCGAUUAAGAGUUGCUCAAAUUGACGUGAAUUAAAGAAGAAGCACCGGCUAACUCUGUGCCAGCAGCCGCGGUAAUACAGAGGGUGCAAGCGUUAAUCGGAAUAACUGGGCGUAAAGGGUGUGUAGGCGGGUAUAUAAGAUAGAUGUGAAACCUUGGCUUAACCAAGGAGGUGCAUAUAUGACUGUAUACCUAGAGUGAAGUAGAGGAGUGCGGAAUUUCCGGUGUAGCGUGAAAUGCGUAGAUAUCGGAAGGACACCGAAAUGCGAAGGCGGCACUCUGGGCUUUUAACUGACGCUGAGGCACG